CGGUGUUUUUUUGGGACAGCCUGUACAGUGGAGACAAACAACCCGAUAACAAGGUCAGGGCAGGGUAGAAGAAGCCGAACACAGUAAAAUUUUCCACCACCCAAAGGCCUGAAAUACAACUUUGUGGAGCUACAUCGAUAAAACGACAGUCAAUCAGCGGCGAGCACUCGAAGUCGAGGACUAUACAUCGACAGACACAAGGCCACCACAGCACUAUUCCUUGCAUAGUAGCGAUAGAAAAAUGUCUGUGACAAAAUUUCGUCCAGUCUUAUUUUCGCCAGAGUAUGGACGUCAAGGACAGGCAGUCUGUCUAAACUGUAACCACAUGUUCGAGAAGUGUGCCAUUCAAUGUCAUGGAACUGUGCCGCCCAGUUUGCGAGCAGACGAGGUAACUCAUCGCUUUCCGUAUCGGGCUGGCCACACUCUGCGUUAUAAAACUGACAAGGCGACCGCAUCUAUUCAUCGCCACCGAUUCCUUCCAAAUUUAUGAUACGUGCAGGACUUGGCCAAAAUGAAAGUCACAUAACCUGCAGCUCCAGACGGCCAAGCGCUUAGAAAAAAUAGUAUUUUUGGUGUGGGUGAGACGAGGAAUGAACAGUUUACGCUAGCGUAGUUUCCAUGCAGCGAUUGGCGCAGCGGAGAGAGUACAUAAUGGUAAUGUGAGGGUCGUGGGUUAGAAUCCCUAUGUGGAAACAUUUUUUUUGUUCCUACGUUAUUUACACUGCAAAUAAGCCGAAAUAAAGCUCAGUAUACGGCAUUUAUUAAUGUUAUCAUAAAACAAUUUAAAAGAAAAGGGGAAGAAAAUUUUUGGGUACCAAAUAAAUUUCCAGGAAGGGACUGCAAGGCGUACACGAGAACUUCAUACAUAAAAUUAGAUUCUCUUGUUAUUUUACAGAUGUUGAUUUACAUGUGCGGUGGCCAUAUUCAUCGUAAAAACAGGGGAAGCAGUAAUUUUGUCGACAUAAUGCCAACGUUAUAAACGCCGCAUUUUUACUCCUACAUGGUUGUGUUGAAGUUUCUAUAGAAAAACUUGAUUUACAUUCGUAAAUGGUCUCGCUCACUGCUCUGUCUGGCAGAAACCACACGGAAAGCGUCAUUUCGCUAAAGUUUGGCGAGGAUAGCUGGUGAUGUGUAGUGGAGUGUAUUUUGAUGCAGUCUUCCAGAGAUGAGAAAAAAUGGUUCAAAGUGGUUCAAAUGGCUCUGAGCACUAUGGGACUUAACAUCUGAGGUCAUCAGUCCCCAGAACUUAGAACUACUUAAACCUAACUAACCUAAGGACAUCACGCACAUCCAUGCCCGAGAGAUAUCGGAGGUUAGCUAUCGAGCGCUGAUCAAAGAUAAAAAUGAAACUAACGAAAAACGAUGUCCCGUAAGCUUUAAUAGCAGACUCUCCUCGGAAAGCUGUUUGUGGAGUGCUGGUGGCCACUGUAAGUACAAUCCAUUCUCAGAAAUUUGUUUGCAGCCCCCAAAUUUCCUUUGACUUCCUUUUCAUGCUCUUUUUGAAAAACAGUAAUGACUACGGCAUACUGAUCAUUAUUACGGCUUACUUGCAGUGUAAGUAACAUAAAAAUAGAAAAUGAAAACGUUUUCCGUAUAGGGAUUCAACCGCACCACCUUCAUAUUGCCUUUCUCCGAUCUUUGCGCUACCCCAACCCCUACAUGGCGACUACGCUAACACAAAAUACUCAUUCAUCGACAGACCGGCGCCCAACGCUAAGCUCCCACUUCCGUUACUUCCAUUUCUAGCCUAGCCCAGCAUAUACUUUCAGUCUAGGCGAAAUCGGCGAUGAGGAUCAGGAGCGGUCCCCUUGUGGCUGAAGGUUUCAUCGAAAGCCGUCGAGAAGGCGUCAUACAACGUCCGCACAGAACUGUGACGAAGAAAGAGAGAAAAAAAGUUAAUGCAAUGUGUAGACUUUGAUGUUAAAACACUCAAUUCUGGAGUUCUGGCCCAGGGGUAGCUGCUUGUUCAGUUUCAUAAUUUUAUACUGAGUAAUAUGAUAUCUGGUUUAUUAAUCGUUACACAGCAAUUUCAGAAUAUCUUACACAACAUAUGUACAAUUAUACAGCACUAACUCAAAAAGGAGGAAAAGUCAUUUUCUAUACUUCCCUCUUAGACGAGGUGAUCCAGUUAGUAGCUUGAUAAUUGGAGACGUAGGGAGAUCAAUUAGGGCAUCUGUGCUGAUGAUUAUGUAUAAUUUGGAAGAGACAACCUGUCACUUACACUGUAUUUAAAAUAUUACAGCUCGCCAGUCUUACUGAAUGUAGUACGUCUAACAACUCCACACUGAUAAAUUUUUCAUUAUUUCUGUGCGAUGACAAUUUACUUAUGACUGAUUACUACUCUUUAUGAAGAUUUUAGUAUGUUUGAUCGAUAAUUGGUAUGUUUAACAUUAAGACACUGUAUCUGUAGGAUACGUACUGUUUAAUACAAAAUAUGUAAUGCAGUAUUACUGGGCAGAUCAGAAACAGACAAUAAAAGACCACCUAGACCCGAAAUUAAAAACUUCCAACGCACAUAAAUACCAACUGCCAUAGCUGGGCAGAAGGUCUGCGUUUACUGAAUGAAGAUUCUUAUCGGACAAGUCGUUACACUGUUGCAAAACGCCUUUCUUUGAAGUCCAUUUUCUACCGAAAAUUUUUUGUGCCCUUAGUUUGCAAGGAACCGCGCUGUGACGUCCGAGUGCGCUAAUUUCGUGUCACUCUGUAUAAUCGUAUAUGGGAAAGCUCUUCUGCUUGAGGCGCAGAAUAUUGAAGCAACAGAAACACUGUUACUUCCUAGCUGCGAAAUUUGUUCCACUGGAAUUUUCUAGUAUGUGUUGAUUCUAUCUGCAGCUGUUUCUCGCAGUGGUAUCCAUUUGAGGUUCCUAUAAUUUACCGGUCCUCGUGACUUAGCGGUUGUAGGCACUUCAGUGUGAAACCGCGCGACCGUUACGGUCGCAGGCUCGAAUCCUGCCUCGGGCAUGUAUGUGUGUAAUGCCCUUAGGUUAGUUAGGUUCAAGUGGUUCUAGUGAUGGGCUAAACUGCUAUUUUCCGAUAUCAGUGAUUUCUGUGAAUGCUACUUUUCAGUAUCUGUUAUUCUUAACUGUGAUUUGUCGCAGUUAAGGAAUCCAGCUCUUGUAUCCCUCCGCUCUCCACCACUGCGAUAUCUGCUACCUCUGCGACUUCUUACUUCUGCGAUUUCUGUGACUCGCAGUUAAGGAAUCCAGCUCUUGUAUCCCUCCGCUCUCCACCACUGCGAUAUCUGCUACUUCUGCGACUUCUGCUACCUCUGCGACUUCUUACUUCUGCGAUUUCUGUGACUCCUGCGAUUUCUGCGACUCACCACCGUAUGAAAAAGUUACAUCUGUCCACACAGAAAAUUGCAUCUCAACAAACCUGUCAUUGGUACCUGAACUACAUUUCAGUCACUCAGUAAAGUGAUAACUCAAAAUAUCAUUGUCAACAGAUCUGAAGAAAUUGCCACUGCGUCUUUAGACCGUUUUCGUCAGACGAGAGACACAGUUCUGACUCUGAUUACUGGUUGCUGUACGUAUCUAUCCACAUCAAGGCUGUUGAGAGAGACUCGUGAAGAUUCAAGACAGCUCUUAGAAGAUUUUGCAGUUUAAAAGUGACAUAAGUGUGCAGAUGAGUGAUUAAACUGUGUUUUAUUGAAGUUGUGCGA